rnacentral:rRNA from 1 species
CCUACGGGUGGCAGCAGUCGAGAAUCAUUCACAAUGGGGGAAACCCUGAUGGUGCGACGCCGCGUGGGGGAAUGAAGGUCUUCGGAUUGUAAACCCCUGUCAUGUGGGAGCAAAUUAAAAAGAUAGUACCACAAGAGGAAGAGACGGCUAACUCUGUGCCAGCAGCCGCGGUAAUACAGGGGUCUCAAGCGUUGUUCGGAAUCACUGGGCGUAAGGCGUGCGUAGGCUGUUUCGUAAGUCGUGUGUGAAAGGCGCGGGCUCAACCCGCGGACGGCACAUGAUACUGCGAGACUAGAGUAAUGGAGGGGGAACCGGAAUUCUCGGUGUAGCAGUGAAAUGCGUAGAUAUCGAGAGGAACACUCGUGGCGAAGGCGGGUUCCUGGACAUUAACUGACGCUGAGGCACGAAGGCCAGGGGAGCGAAAGGGAUUAGAUACCCCAGUAGUC